rnacentral:rRNA from 1 species
AUUGAACGCUGGCGGCAGGCCUAACACAUGCAAGUCGAACGAGUGGCGGACGGGUGAGUAAUGUCUGGGAAACUGCCUGAUGGAGGGGGAUAACUACUGGACACGGUAGCUAAUACCUCAUACCAUCAGAUGUUCCCAGAUGGGAUUAGCUAGUAGGUGGGGGAAUGGCUCACCUAGGCGACGAUCCCUAGCUGGUCUGAGAGGAUGACCAGCCACACGGGAACGGAGACACGGUCAAGACUCCUACGGGAGGCAGAAGUGGGGAAGAUUGAACAAUGGGCGAAAGCCUGAUGCAGCAAUGCCGCGUGUGUGAAGAAGGCCUUCGGGUUGUAAAGCACUUUCAGCGAGGAGGCGUUACUCGCAGAAGAAGCACCGGCUAACUCCGUGCCAGCAGCCGCGGGAAUUC